rnacentral:rRNA from 1 species
UACGGGGGGGGGCAAGCGUUGUUCGGAAUUACUGGGCGUAAAGGGCUCGUAGGCGGCCAACUAAGUCAGACGUGAAAUCCCUCGGCUUAACCGGGGAACUGCGUCUGAUACUGGAUGGCUUGAGGUUGGGAGAGGGAUGCGGAAUUCCAGGUGUAGCGGUGAAAUGCGUAGAUAUCUGGAGGAACACCGGUGGCGAAAGCGGCUCACUGGACCAUUACUGACGCUGAUGCACGAAAGCUAGGGGAGCAAACAGG